CUGUAUGGUAACAUUAAUUUCCGUUUAUGAAAUCAUAGAAGAGGAACUUGUUUUGGUGGCAUGGGUCUAGUGAUGUUUGGAAUGUGAUCCGUUUGUGUCUAACCUGAAGUCGAAUUUUAACCCCUUACCACUGGCAUGUUGUUUAAUCCUUCUUAACCCACUAUUGAGGAUCAUUAAUUCAGCUAAGUUUAGGCCUUAGUUUGGUGUUUCUGUCUGUCUCUUGUAUACGAAGAACACAUGGUUCUAAUUAAGUUUCUCUUUACUCUAUUUAAAUUUAUAAAAGCAGAUCAAAGGGUUAGUUCAUCCCUGUUUUAUGGCUUGUUUAUGUCUCAUCCAUGUUUUUGUACAUAGCUUUUGCUUUGAAUAAAAAAUGUUUCUUCUAAAAGAAAAAACAAACUCAAUUGCUCAGAAAACAUCUGGUAUUUAUUGUACGUGAAAAUGAUGAUUAAUAUUUGCCUCUAAACUAUAGUUAGGAAAUCAAAGCAAAUGUACGUGGGGUUCUGUGAAUGUCUGAAACUGCAUGUUCAAGCCUCCCCUGCCUCCUUAUUGUAUAAAACAUUGCGAAACAGUUUGAAUUUGACCUACCAACUACAAUGUCAUACUGUUAUCACUGUCUUUUCUUAGAAAUGCAAAAUGUCCUUAACGCAUAAUAAUAUAGAAUGCAAUCUUUGGUUCUGAUAUAAAUGUUCCAAAUGUUACAGAUAAGUUGUUGAGUAGACUAAUAAGUUGCUCUUGUGUUAUAGGUUUCAGAAGUAAGCUCACUUUUGGGCAAAGCUGGCAUCACUGGGUUUGGGAAGGCUAUACAAUUUUUGGACAGUCUUGGUAGCAGCAUGACAAAUUUGACCUCCAUUGUUGGUACCUCAGGAAUGUCAAGGAAAGAGAAUACAAUUUCAAUUUUGGCUUUUGAAGUUGCCAACACAAUUGUCAAGGGUGCCAACCUGAUGCAAUCCCUUUCAGAGGAUAAUGUCAGACAUUUGAAGGAGGUGGUGCUACCAUCAAAAGGGGUGCAAACUUUAAUAUCUAGAGAUAUGGAUGAGCUCCUGAGAAUUGCUGCUGCUGACAAGAGAGAAGAACUGAAAACAUUUUUCAGUGACGUUGUGCGUUUUGGAAA